rnacentral:tRNA from 1 species
GGACAAUUAGCUAAGUUGGUUCAUAGCGCUGCCUUCACACGGCAGAGGCCACAGGUUCGAAUCCUGUAUUGUCCA